AAUACCAACAUUAUUAUUAUUAUUAUUAUUAUUAUUACAGAGAAGAUUAGCAUGGCCCUUGCGCAAGGAUGACACACAAAUUCGUGAAGCGUUCCAUAUUUUU